rnacentral:ncRNA from 2 species
UUCGCCGAAUCUGGAGAGCGGCAUCCGCGGAUGCCCACCGAAGGGGCUAACGGCCGCAAGGCCGGAAAAUCUCAGGUGCAGGGACAGAGGGGUGUAG